rnacentral:other from 1 species
CGAUUCCUGCGGCGUUGGUGACUGCCAAUAUCGUUUUUUGAUCUAUACCUUUAACGAUAGGGAACAACUUGCUCGGUGGCAGUAUACCAAGCUCAGGUUUGGAAACUUUAAGCCGUGGCGACCACUUCCCACCUGGAUUUUCCAGGUCAAAAACUGAGGUAAGACGGCGUUGUGGGAAUUGC